rnacentral:tRNA from 1 species
GUCCUCGUAGCUCAGUGGAUAGAGCAACGCACUCCUAACGCGUAGGUCGCGCGUUCGACUCGCGCCGAGGACACCA